UACGGAGGGUGCGAGCGUUGUCCGGAAUCACUGGGCGUAAAGCGCGCGUAGGCGGCUUUGUAAGUUAGAGGUGAAAGCGCGGAGCUCAACUCCGGAACUGCCUUUAAGACUGCAUCGCUUGAAUCCAGGAGAGGUGAGUGGAAUUCCGAGUGUAGAGGUGAAAUUCGUAGAUAUUCGGAAGAACACCAGUGGCGAAGGCGGCUCACUGGACUGGUAUUGACGCUGAGGUGCGAAAGCGUGGGGAGCAAACAGG
rnacentral:rRNA from 1 species